GAAGUACUCCCUCUGUUCGGAAUUACUUGUCGUAGAAAUGGAUGUAUCUAGACGUAUUUUAGUUCUAGAUACAUCCAUUUCCGAGACAAGUAAUUCCGAACGGAGGGAGUAGCUC
rnacentral:pre_miRNA from 1 species